UACGUAGGGUGCAAGCGUUAAUCGGAAUUACUGGGCGUAAAGCGUGCGCAGGCGGUUUUGUAAGUCUGACGUAAAAGCCCCGGGCUUAACCUGGGAAUUGCGUUGGAGACUGCAAGGCUUGAAUCUGGCAGAGGGGGGUAGAAUUCCACGUGUAGCAGUGAAAUGCGUAGAGAUGUGGAGGAACACCGAUGGCGAAGGCAGCCCCCUGGGUCAAGAUUGACGCUCAUGCACGAAAGCGUGGGGAGCAAACAGG
rnacentral:rRNA from 1 species